CGGCAUGCCUAAGACAUGCAAGUCGAACGAAGUAGCCUAAUGAAGAUUGAGUGCUUGCACGAUUUCUGAUUUAGAUUCUACUUAGUGGCAGACGGGUGAGUAACACGUGGGUAACCUACCUUAGAGACUGGGAUAACAGUUAGAAAUGAUUGCUAAUACCGGAUGAUUCAUAGUUAGAUAACUAAUUAUGCUAAAAGGAGCAUUUGCUUCACUUUAAGAUGGGCUUGCGUUGUAUUAGUUAGUUGGUGGGGUAAUGGCCUACCAAGACAACGAUGCAUAUCCGAGCUGAGAGGCUGAUCGGACACACUGGGACUGAGACACGGCCCAGACUCCUACGGGAGACAGCAGUUAGGAAUAUUCGUCAAUGGGGGAAACCCUGAACGAGCAAUGCCGCGUGAAGUGAUUAAGGUCUUAUAGAUUGUAAAACUCUGUUGUAAAGAAAGAAACCUUAAGAUAGGAAAUGAUCUUAAGCUGACGGUACUUUACCAGAAAGCCCCGGCUAACUACGUGCCAGCCGCUGC
rnacentral:rRNA from 1 species